CUUGCUCUGUGACCCAUCAGAACCAGGGUAAGGUGUCAACUCUGCCCAGAUGACUGGAACAGAAUGACACCUUUGCAGCGCCUGUCCUCCGAGUGUCACUGUGCUGAAGCCCUGGUGUGGGGUGGGGGGAGAUCUAAGGACAGACACUUGUGCCCCUCCCUUCAGUCAUGAGACGAUUCAAGCAAAGAGGCUAAAACAGUGCAACCUGAAGAGUGAAAACUCAUGCUGUGGAGAGGAAAACCCCAGCGUAGCCGGAGGAGGAACCUGUCAAGCAGGAGACUGCACCCGGCUCUGCUGGCACACCUCACAGUGGAUUGUGCUGGAGGAGACAGAGAAAGAGCAUCUGAGUAUGCAAGUGAUUCCUGUAUGGAGUUUGUGUGUAGUGCAUGCAGACAUCUAUGAAGGCCAAAGGACGAUGUUAAUAUCCUUCUCGGCUCUCUCCACCUCAGUUUUUUGAGGCAGGGUCUCUCACUGAACUUGAGCUUGCUAUCUUGUUUAGACUGUCUGAUUAUAGGCACACAUGGCCAUUGCCAGCUGGGGGGUUGAAUGCAGGCCCUCUUGCUUGUAUAGCAAACACUCUUACCCAGUGACCCAUCUCCCCAGUCCCCAAGGCUUUAUUAAACCGUUUCUAAAGUCUUCAGAGCAA